GGAUAACUUACCCUUUAGGACUGGGAUAACUCUGGGAAACUGGGGAUAAUACCGGAUAUUAGGCUAUGCCUGGAAUGGUUUGCCUUUGAAAUGUUUUUUCGCCUAAGGAUAGAUCUGCGGCUGAUUAGGUCGUUGGUGGGGUAAUGGCCCACCAAGCCGAUGAUCGGUACGGGUUGUGAGAGCAAGAGCCCGGAGAUGGAACCUGAGACAAGGUUCCAGACCCUACGGGGUGCAGCAGGCGCGAAACCUCCGCAAUGUACGAAAGUGCGACGGGGGGAUCCCAAGUGUCAUGCUUUUUUGUAUGACUUUUCAUUAGUGUAAAAAGCUUUUAGAAUAAGAGCUGGGCAAGACCGGUGCCAGCCGCCGCGGUAACACCGGCAGCUCGAGUGGUAGCUGUUUUUAUUGGGCCUAAAGCGUUCGUAGCCGGUUUGAUAAGUCUUUGGUGAAAGCUUGUAGCUUAACUAUAAGAAUUGCUGGAGAUACUAUUAGACUUGAAGUCGGGAGAGGUUAGAGGUACUACCGGGGUAGGGGUGAAAUCCUAUAAUCCUGGGAGGACCACCUGUGGCGAAGGCGUCUAACUGGAACGAUCUUGACGGUGAGUAACGAAAGCCAGGGGCGCGAACCGGAUUAGAUACCCGGGUAGUCCUGGCCGUAAACGAUGUGGACUUGGUGUUGGAAUGGCUUUGAGUUGUUCCGGUGCCGAAGGGAAGCUGUUAAGUCCACCGCCUGGGAAGUACGGUCGCAAGACUGAAACUUAA
rnacentral:rRNA from 1 species